CAGCCGCCGCGGUAAUACGGAGGGUGCAAGCGUUAUCCGGAUUUAUUGGGUUUAAAGGGUCCGUAGGCGGACUUAUAAGUCAGUGGUGAAAGCCUGUCGCUUAACGAUAGAACUGCCAUUGAUACUGUAAGUCUUGAGUAUAUUUGAGGUAGCUGGAAUAAGUAGUGUAGCGGUGAAAUGCAUAGAUAUUACUUAGAACACCAAUUGCGAAGGCAGGUUACCAAGAUAUAACUGACGCUGAGGGACGAAAGCGUGGGUAGCGAACAGGAUUAGAUACCCCCGUAGUCCCUGUCUCUUAUAU
rnacentral:rRNA from 1 species